rnacentral:lncRNA from 1 species
GUGAAAUUUUGGGGUUCAGUAAUAUGGAUAUUAUAGAGAGAGUACAUUUGAAAUUUUGCAAGAUACUACUGAACUUGAAAAAGUCAACUCCAAACUUUAUGGUAUAUGGUGAACUUGGUGUGUAUCCCAUGGUAGUCUAUGUUAAACUACGUAUGGUAAAUUAUUGGUGUAGAAUUGUCCACGGCAAAGAAAAUAAGUUGUCACACAUUUUGUAUAACUUUAUGUUUUUAAAAUAUUCACAGAAUAAUUGUAAGUCUGAAUGGGUUAUGUUUAUAAAAAAUAUUCUUGAUACAUGUGGUUAUAGUAAUAUCUGGUUAGCAC